rnacentral:rRNA from 1 species
UGCGGAAGGAUCAUUACCGAGUGAGGGCCCUCUGGGUCCAACCUCCCACCCGUGUUUAUCGUACCUUGUUGCUUCGGCGGGCCCGCCUCACGGCCGCCGGGGGGCAUCCGCCCCCGGGCCCGCGCCCGCCGAAGACACACAAACGAACUCUUGUCUGAAGAUUGCAGUCUGAGUACUUGACUAAAUCAGUUAAAACUUUCAACAACGGAUCUCUUGGUUCCGGCAUCGAUGAAGAACGCAGCGAAAUGCGAUAAGUAAUGUGAAUUGCAGAAUUCAGUGAAUCAUCGAGUCUUUGAACGCACAUUGCGCCCCCUGGUAUUCCGGGGGGCAUGCCUGUCCGAGCGUCAUUGCUGCCCUCAAGCACGGCUUGUGUGUUGGGCUCUCGCCCCCCGCUUCCGGGGGGCGGGCCCGAAAGGCAGCGGCGGCACCGCGUCCGGUCCUCGAGCGUAUGGGGCUUCGUCACCCGCUCUGUAGGCCCGGCCGGCGCCCGCCGGCGAACACCAUCAAUCUUAACCAGGUUGACCUCGGAUCAGGUAGGGAUACCCGCUGAACUUAAGCAUAUCAA